rnacentral:rRNA from 1 species
AUUGAACGCUGGCGGCAUGCCUUACACAUGCAAGUCGAACGGCAGCACGGGGGCAACCCUGGUGGCGAGUGGCGAACGGGCGAGUAAUGCAUCGGAACGUGUCCUCUUGUGGGGGAUAACCAGUCGAAAGAUUGGCUAAUACCGCAUGAGAUCGCAAGAUGAAAGCGGGGGACCGCAAGGCCUCGCGCGAGAGGAGCGGCCGAUGCCGGAUUAGCUAGUUGGUGGGGUAAAAGCCUACCAAGGCGACAAUCCGUAGCUGGUCUGAGAGGACGACCAGCCACACUGGGACUGAGACACGGCCCAGACUCCUACGGGAGGCAGCAGUGGGGAAUUUUGGACAAUGGGCGCAAGCCUGAUCCAGCCAUGCCGCGUGUGUGAAGAAGGCCUUCGGGUUGUAAAGCACUUUCGGACGGGACGAAAUCGCGCGGACGAACAUUCCGCGUGGAUGACGGUACCGUAAGAAGAAGCACCGGCUAACUACGUGCCAGCCGCCGCCGUAACAC